AAUUACCCUUCUGAGCCCAGCUCUCCUACUUAAGCUCUGGAAACAAUCCUGCUAUUCCGGACCGUGGCUCUGGCCAUUUUCCUCUCAUUUUUCCUCUAACCCUAUCCUUUCUGCAGGAUUGUCCAUCAGCAGUGGCCAGGAAUUGGAAAUGACCGAGACGUCCAUCAACUGAUAGGUAGAUAAUGAAGAUGUGGUGCAUCAACACAGUGGAAUAUUAUUUGGGCGUAAAGAAAAAUGAAAUUGUACUGUCCAUAGAUUACUACAACUUCAUCAGAGAAGCUUCUUUUUGGAGGAGAUGGCAAUGGAUGCAGAGAUCCACAACUAGUCAAUAUGCAGAGAUCUGGGACCGGAACUCAGGAGGUGGCACCACCACAUUCUUGUCUCUGGCAAUAUUCUCACAGACAUGCCUAGAGGCGUGUUCCCCGGGGCAUUCCGAAUCCAGUUGACCGUGAAGAUGAAUCGUGACAGAACCCUACAGAGUUCUUGGCCUCUCUCCAUGGGCUGAAAUUAUGUGCCGAGCAUCUGUUCCUUUGAGAAAGGCCUCGUGGAUGACCCCUCACCAAGAGUCUAAUUUAUCUGGAGACUCCAGAAUGGCACAGCCACACCCACUGGCAACAGCGAGUGUCAUGAACCAGCCUGACACGGUCCAACCAAGCUGAGGGGAUUGUUACAACUGCUGUCUUUCUGUCUCUGACUUUUGGUCUUGCAUUAUGAUUCGAUUUAUGUC